rnacentral:misc_RNA from 1 species
AACGCACAUUGCGCCCGCCAGUAUUCUGGCGGGCAUGCCUGUUCGAGCGUCAUUUCAACCCUCAAACCCCCGGGUUUGGUGUUGGAGAUCGGCAUGAGUCCUUCGGGGCGACGCCGUCUCCCAAAUAUAGUGGCGGUCUCGCUGUAGCUUCCUAUGCGUAGUAGCACACCUCGCACUGGAAAGCAGCGCGGCCACGCCGUUAAACCCCCAACUUUUCUGAGUUUGACCUCGAAUCAGGUAGGAUUACCCGCUGAACUUAA